CUGAACCAGCCAAGUAGCGUGAAGGAUGAAGGCUCUAUGGGUCGUAAACUUCUUUUAUAUAAGAAUAAAGUGCAGUAUGUAUACUGUUUUGUAUGUAUUAUAUGAAUAAGGAUCGGCUAACUCCGUGCCAGCAGCCGCGGUAAUACGGAGGAUCCGAGCGUUAUCCGGAUUUAUUGGGUUUAAAGGGAGCGUAGGUGAACUGGUAAGUCAGUUGUGAAAGUUUGCGG
rnacentral:rRNA from 1 species